UGCUCUGUGAUUACUUGCCUAAUUGUGGGCAAUAUACGCUAUUCCGACUGAUGAAUGUGAGCAGAAAUAUAUGAAAUAUAUUAUGAGAGCC